rfam:Sporosarcina psychrophila strain DSM 6497, complete genome.
UCCACAGUGACGUCGAAUCUGAAGGAAGCGAGCUGCAAACCUUGGGUCUGAGGAGCACGAACUUCAUAUAAGGCUAUGUGCGAUUGGAUGAGUUUGCAAAACAAAACAAAGCAAAGUCCUUUCUGCCGAAGGUCGUAUGUAGUUAAUGAAGCAGAUAGGUGAAGGGAAAGACUACGCUC